UCAAAGCCGUGGGUACCAUUGACUGACAUUAUAUGACUGACAGACUGCAACGGCUUGAGUUAAAAAUAUUCAUUUGUGUUCUACUGAAGAAACAAAGUCACCUACAUCUUGGAUGCCCUGGGGUUAGUGCAUAGCGCUUCUUCCUGCGGGAUCCAGACAUGCCCCCAAGCAGGUCUGGUACCCCACAUCUGGGUUUCUUCAUCCAGCUAGAGGAGAAAAAAGAGCAAAGGGAGGAGGCGUAAGGCUCCCUGUGAUGUUUAGUCCAUACUUGUGCUGCAUGGCAGCAAUAGCGGAAUGCAUGGCUUGGGCUGAUCGCAGGACAGCCAUGUUAGGUUGUGUCUUGUGGAGGUAGCCAUACCUCUGUAACCACAC